rnacentral:rRNA from 1 species
GACAAACGCUGGCGGCGUGCCUAAGACAUGCAAGUCGAACGGGUGCUUCACCUUCGGGUGGAGUUGCGAGUGGCGGAUGGGUGAGUAACGCGUAGGAACCUGUCCUUUUGUGGGGGAUACCGGUGGGAAACCGCUGCUAAUACCGCAUGAGGUCAUCAUGGGAGACUGUGAUGAAGAAAGGCGAAAGCCGCAGAAGGAGGGGCCUGCGUCCGAUUAGUUAGUUGGUGGGGUAACGGCCUACCAAGGCGACGAUCGGUAGCUGGUCUGAGAGGAUGGUCAGCCACACUGGGACUGAGACACGGCCCAGACUCCUACGGGAGGCAGCAGUUAGGAAAUUUUCACAAUGGGGGAAACCCUGAUGGAGUAACGCCGCGUGGAGGAAGACGGCCC